GCUGCUUGCGGNNUGNGNCNNCUUNUNAANAUGCAAGUCCNAACGGNGAAGCCCUUCGGGGUGGAUCAGUGGCGAACGGGUGAGUAACACGUGGGCAAUCUGCCCUGCACUCUGGGACAAGCCCUGGAAACGGGGUCUAAUACCGGAUAUGACCUUNCUCCGCAUGNUGGUUGGUGGAAAGCUCCGGCGGUGCAGGAUGAGCCCGCGGCCUAUCAGCUUGUUGGUGGGGUAAUGGCCUACCAAGGCGACGACGGGUAGCCGGCCUGAGAGGGCGACCGGCCACACUGGGACUGAGACACGGCCCAGACUCCUACGGGAGGCAGCAGUGGGGAAUAUUGCACAAUGGGCGNAAGCCUGAUGCAGCGACGCCGCGUGAGGGAUGACGGCCUUCGGGUUGUAAACCUCUUUCAGCAGGGAAGAAGCGCAAGUGACGGUACCUGCAGAAGAAGCACCGGCUAACUACGUGCCAGCAGCCGCGGUAAUACGUAGGGUGCGAGCGUUGUCCGGAAUUAUUGGGCGUAAAGAGCUCGUAGGCGGCCUGUCGCGUCGGAUGUGAAAGCCCGGGGCUUAACCCCGGGUCUGCAUUCGAUACGGGCAGGCUAGAGUGUGGUAGGGGAGAUCGGAAUUCCUGGUGUAGCGGUGAAAUGCGCAGAUAUCAGGAGGAACACCGGUGGCGAAGGCGGAUCUUUGGGCCAUUACUGACNCUGAGGAGCGAAAGCGUUGGGGAGCNAACANGAUUANAUACCCUGGUANUCCACNCCGUAAACGUUGGGAACUAGGUGUUGGCGACAUUCCNCGUNGUCGGGGCCNAACUUACNCAUUAAUUUCCCCCCUUGGGGANUCCGCCNCANGNUNAAACUAAAGAAUUNACGGGGNCCCCCAAACACNGNNCUNUUGNU
rnacentral:rRNA from 1 species